AUGGGCGGUACCUGUAGCGUAUCCAAGGUAUCGAGUCCAGCCAUCCACAGAAGGAAUCUGCGCUCUCUAGUCUUCAGAGUGCUUGGGCUGCUAGGUCUUCUUCCUCCCGGUUUGCCGAAGAAAUUCCUCAAAGAAGAGCACAUCCAUGGACCUCUGACGGAGGCUGCAGUUGCUGGAUUGCCAGAGCUGCCACAGGAUGUCCUGAUGUCCAUAUUUGCACACCUGGAGAUCCCUGACCUGAUGCGUGCCUGCUCCUUCUGCUCCUCGUGGCGCUCCGCGUAUUCCAGCCUGCGCAACCUUGAGCAGUACCAGCGGCGCCAGACGCCGUGCCUCUUAUACACAUCUGAAUCUGCUGGUGAGAGCGUACAGCCUCGUGGAGAAAAGGUCAUACAAGUUGACUCUCCCGGAGCCACCCAUUCGCAGUAG
rnacentral:rRNA from 1 species